rnacentral:rRNA from 1 species
UACGUAGGGGGCAAGCGUUGUCCGGAUUUAUUGGGCGUAAAGAGCGUGUAGGCGGCCAUGUAGGUCCGUUGUGAAAACUCGAGGCUCAACCUCGAGACGCCGAUGGAAACCAUGUGGCUAGAGUCCGGAAGAGGAGAGUGGAAUUCCUGGGUGUAGCGGUGAAAUGCGCAGAUAUCAGGAGGAACACCGAUGGCGAAGGCAGGUCUCUGGGCCACUACUGACGCUGGAGAAGCGAAAGCAUGGGGAGCGAACAGG